rnacentral:rRNA from 1 species
UACAGAGGGGGCCAGCGUUAUUCGGAAUUAUUUGGCGUAAAGGGCGCGUAGGCGGCCAUGCGUGUCUUCCGUGAAAUCCCUCGGCUUAACCGAGGACGUGCGGAAGAAACUGCAAGGCUCGAGUCCGGAAGAGGGGGGCGGAAUUCCCAGUGUAGCGGUGAAAUGCGUAGAUAUUGGGAGGAACACCAGUGGCGAAGGCGGUCCCCUGGGCCGGAACUGACGCUGAUGCGCGAAAGCGUGGGUAGCAAACGGG